rnacentral:snRNA from 1 species
GUGCUGGCUUUGACAGCACAUAUUCUAAAACUGGGGUGAUAAAAGAUUAACAUGGCCCUUAUGCAAGGAUGACACACAAAUUUGUAAAGUGUUCAUACCUCAA